rnacentral:rRNA from 1 species
CCUACGGGUGGCUGCAGUGGGGAAUAUUGCACAAUGGGCGCAAGCCUGAUGCAGCCAUGCCGCGUGUGUGAAGAAGGCCUUCGGGUUGUAAAGCACUUUCAGCGGGGAGGAAGGCGUUAAGGUUAAUAACCUUGGCGAUUGACGUUACCCGCAGAAGAAGCACCGGCUAACUCCGUGCCAGCAGCCGCGGUAAUACGGAGGGUGCAAGCGUUAAUCGGAAUUACUGGGCGUAAAGCGCACGCAGGCGGUCUGUCAAGUCGGAUGUGAAAUCCCCGGGCUCAACCUGGGAACUGCAUUCGAAACUGGCAGGCUAGAGGCUUGUAGAGGGGGGUAGAAUUCCAGGGGUAGCGGUGAAAUGCGUAGAGAUCUGGAGGAAUACCGGUGGCGAAGGCGGCCCCCUGGACAAAGACUGACGCGCAGGUGCGAAAGCGUGGGGAGCAAACAGGAUUAGAUACCCGGGUAGUC